CACGUAGGGGGCAAGCGUUGUCCGGAAUCAUUGGGCGUAAAGAGCGUGUAGGUGGCCCGGUCAGUCCGCCGUGAAAGUCCAGGGCUCAACCCUGGAAUGCCGGUGGAUACUGCCGGGCUGGAGUCCGGAAGAGGCGAGUGGAAUUCCUGGUGUAGCGGUGAAAUGCGCAGAUAUCAGGAGGAACACCGGUGGCGAAGGCGGAUCUCUGGGCCGAUACUGACGCUGAGGAGCGAAAGCGUGGGGAGCGAACAGG
rnacentral:rRNA from 1 species